GGAGGGUGUGACUAGUGACAGAGUGAGGGAGGGAAGGGGUGACUAGUGAGAGUGAGGGAGUUGGUGAUUAGUGACAGAGGGAGGAAUGGGGUGACUAUCACUGUGUCACCCCCUUCCUCACUCUGUCACUAGUCACCCACUCCCUCCCUCACUCGGUCACUAGUCACCCCUCUCUCACUCUGUCACCAGUCAUUCCCUCACUCUGUCACCAGUCAUCCCUUCCUUCCCUCACUCUGCCACUAGUCAUCCCUUCCCUCAC